AUAUUGGCUUGCAGGACUUUGAUGUUGGAAAAUGCUCAGUUGCAAGGCAGUUUAUUCAAUAGACUUCAAUCUGUUUGUAAGUUGGGAAAGUUCCUAAUUCAUAGACUCUAUACUGCACUUCUGCAUUAGGCAAGGAGAUCCUAUGUCUCCUUAUCUAUUUGUUCUAGCCAUGGAGUGUUUGAAUAGACUUCUGCAACAACUGCAUAAGGAUGGAAAUUUCAACUUCCACCCUAGAUGC
rnacentral:lncRNA from 1 species